rnacentral:rRNA from 1 species
AUUGAACGCUGGCGGCAGGCCUAACACAUGCAAGUCGAGCGGAGCGGCGGACGGGUGAGUAAUGCCUAGGAAUCUGCCUGGUCGUGGGGGAUAACGUCCGGAAACGGGCGCUACUACCGCAUACUAUCAGAUGAGCCUAGGUCGGAUUAGCUAGUUGGUGGGGUAAAGGCCUACCAAGGCCACGAACCGUACCUGGUCCGAGAGGCUGAGCAGUCAGACUGUAACUGAGACACGGUCCAUGCUCCUACGGGAGGCAGCAGUGGGGAAGUGUGGACAAUGGGCGAAAGCCUGAUCCAGCCAGGCCGCGUGUGUGAAGAAGGUCUUCGGAUUGUAAAGCACUUUAAGUUGGGAGGCGUUACCUACAGAAUAAGCACCGGCUAACUUCGUGCCAGCAGCCGCUGUAAUUC